rnacentral:rRNA from 1 species
AAUGAACGCUGGCGGCAUGCCUAAUACAUGCAAGUCGAGCGAACAGACGAGGAGCUUGCUCCUCUGACGUUAGCGGCGGACGGGUGAGUAACACGUGGUUAACCUACCUAUAAGACUGGGAUGACUUCGGGAAACCGUGGCUACUACCGGAUAAUAUAUUGAACCGCAUGGUUCAAGAGUGAAAUACGGCUUUUCUUUCACUUAUAGAUUAAUCCGCCCACCAUUAGCUAGUUGGUAAGGUAACGGCUUACCAAGGCAACGAUGCGUAGCCGACCUGAGCGGGUGAUCGGCUAGACUGGAACUGAGACACGGUCCAGACUCCUACGGGAGGCAGCAGUAGGGACUCUUCCGGAAUGGGCGAAAGCCUGACGGAGCAACGCCGCGUGAGUGAUGAAGGUCUUCGGAUGGGAAAACUCUGUUAUUCGGGAAGAACAAAUGUGUAAGUACCUAUGCUCGUCUUGACGGUACCGAAUCAGAAAGCCACGGCUAACUACGUG